CAAAUCCAACAAAGAAACUUAGCAACCCAUAUCCAUGGAUUGCUUACAAAGUUUACAAGAGGAAACUAAGGUGAAAGCGGUGACCCGUGCCGUCCUCGGUGUGUCUCCAGCACGAUGGAUGGUGGAUCAAAGCUCCCAAAGUUCCUUUCCUUCUUCUCUAUGCAAUUUUCUUUCUAAGAGGUCCAAAAUAUGUCAAGAGAUCAUCCAAUUCUGAUUUGGUCGAGCUUUUUAUAAAACAGGACAGCAAUCUCACUUAAGCUGAUAAAGAUGUCGCUUAAGCGAGCAGGUUUCUUCACGUUCAGGUAAGGUCUUUGGCUUAAGCGAGACCAUUUCUCGCUUAAGCCGAAUUGUCUUCCAGAACCACUGCUACUGCCAUGUAAUUUGGCUCAAGCGAGGCAACAUUUGGCUUAAGCGAACUUCAAUAUAUCUGCACUGCUACUGCCAUGUAGUUUGGCUUAAGCGAGUCAACUUUUGGCUUAAGCGAACUUCAAUAUUUUUAGCCCCUUUUGAUCUUCAAAUAGUUGGAUCUUCUUGACUUUUCUCCUACAAUAAAAUCCAAAGAGUCUAAAUGAUAAAACUAACACAUCUUACAUAAUAUCUAUAUAUAAACUAUCUACUUACUAAGUUAACCUAUCUGAGAGAUAAUUUGAAAGAUAACUUACACAUUUAGAACAGAUAAGUACCCAAAUUAAUAUAGAAAAUCAGGUAAAUUUGGCACUUAUCAACUCCCCCAAACUUGGAACUUUGUUUGUCCUCAAACAAAAGGUAUUGGCUAUAAAAAAAACAUAUUCACAAAGGUUCUUGAACGAGCAUGGCUUAUGAACUACUAAUCUCAGUUUCUUUUCACAAGCAUGAUUCACGUAUCAAUUACUAACUAGAACAUGUGAAGCCCACAACAAAUGGUUACAGUAAUGAUACAAAAACACACCAGCAUGAAACCAUUGGCAUAACAUUGAAUCUAAUACUAUUCAAUCAGGGAACCAUUCAAAUUCUCAUCAAACUGUUCACUACUCUUCAAUUCUCUAUGAGGUAAGUGUUUCACACUAAUCAGCCAUUGAAUCACAACAUGUCAAACUUGUUACCUGUCUCAUCAACUAUUAAAACUGCAUGGAAACUCAAGAAUCACAAAGGUCUUUCUGGGUUGUAAUGUGGCCAGGGUUAUCAAGAAAAUUGGUUUUUCUAGAUUUUCAAGAUACUUUCAAGUCAAGAGAGCAAUUACAUUUGGAUUCACACAAUAAUUAUGAAUUUUUUUUUUCGCUCUCCUUCUACCAACCCUCUUUUUCACCCCUUUUACACAAUUUCAUGCACAUAAUCCCUUUUCUUCUCAUUUCCAUUCUUUUUCAAUCAUUUUUUUUUGUUUUUUUUUUUGAUAGACUAUACACAAGCAUUUUUUUUUCAUCAGUAUAUGUACAAAGGAUAGAAAACUAAACAAAAAGAUAUCAAAGCCUCCACUCCCCCCAACUUAGCACAUUAGCAUACAAUCCUCACAUAAAUGCUCUCUUAACUUAAAAAGUCUGGGAUAAACAUUUUUUUUUUCAUUUAAGUUCGGGAUCAUAUACAAAGAACAACAAAAUUUUAAUUCAAGCUCAAAAGGGGUGCAAUUGGAAUUCCUAAUCAAUGGUAGGCUUAUUUGGCUAAGUAGUUUAUGUACACUAAAGAACAAAAUUGCCUUGAUCAUUUUCUAUCAUUCCCAUGCAAUUCAACAGUUAGAGACUCAAACAAGUAAAACUGUGCAAAACAAUGGCGAAUCUCUCGAAUCUCACCAAGUGUUUGGCUACACUCCUCACUAGGCUUAGGAGUCCCUGAUUUCAAUCAUUUUCAAAAUGAGCCUAUGACAUUCAUGUGAAUGAUGCAUUCAUAUCAUAUAAUGACCCCAAGUGAGUGCAAUCACAAUGAACUAUGAACUUUUAAAAACACACAUCAUGCUCAACCUAGCUUUUCAUAGCCCAUGCUCAUUACCUAAACCAACAACCAAUCAUUUACAAUUCAGAACAGUGAGAAAAACAAACUCCUAAUCCAAAAUCCAAACAUGUGCUAGCAAUUAAGAACACAACAAAAUAACACAAAAUACCAAGUUCAUACUAACAAGUACUAUAAACGAAUAAAAGUAAUAAAGCUAGAAAAUGAAAUGACAGAAAAUAAAAGUGAACUUGGAUCAGUGGCUGUGGUCAUCAAUCCUCAACUCCAUCCUGCUCCUGAUCAUCAAACAUGUAAUCAUCAGCUCUCAAGUUAGCUGCUGCAGAAGUAGUAGCUUCAUCUCCAUCUCCAUGUCCAGCAGCUCUCUCCUCCUCCCUGGAAUUUGGCAUGUCCUCAGGCCAAGCAUCACGAUCCUGUUUGUGCUGCAACAUAUGCUCCUGAACAGCCUAGAUCUAAUGCAUUAGGUAGAAGACAAUUUUAACAUUUUCAUUCAUGCAUUUUGUCAAACACCUAGGGUGCACAACCUUUAACAUAUGAAGCAUAUAACAAUUUGAGUUUACAAUCCCGUAACCAAACUUAAGAGCCUCAAACAGUCCUAUUCAAAGCAUGCAAUUCUUUUCCCAAUGAGAUCACAAAUUCCUCAAUGCUCAUCAGUGCUUACACAAUCAAAAUCCCUGGUACAAUUGACAAGGAGAGAAUGGAGAAAACUGAACCAAAGAGUUGAAAAUCCUGCUCACGUGUGUGCAAUGGAACUAAGUUACGUGCUCUUGUGUAUGAGAGGAAGUGAUACAUGAUUUUGUGUGUGAGGUAGGGUUUGUGUUUUUAAAGAGUGACUGGUUUUUUUUUUUUUUUUAAUAGGUAUCUCGCUUAAGCGAGACAUUUCCUUGCUUAAGUGAACAUGCCAGUUCUUGUGCUAUCUUUUCUUUCUAGAGUGUCGCUUAAGCGGAACUUGCUCUGGCUUAAGCGAAAUUGAACCCUGGUACACUGUAACUGCUUUCUGAUUUUGGCUUAAGCGAUCAUUUGGCUGGCUUAAGCGAAGUACCUGCAAUUAUGCAGCAUAAUACUGUUAAGUCUUGCCAAAAUUCACAAGUCUAACCUCCAAAAUUUGUAUUUCUCUUCUUCCUUGAUUUUCAAUCAUGAUGAGGCAUUUCUAUCUUCAAUUUAAACCUGUGAUUCACUUGAAUUCCACAUGUUAAUCAUUAAAGAACAUGAAUUCAAUUUAGCACUCUUUUUGACUAUUUACACAAGUGGAUACCUCAAAUUUUGAUUCAUCAAUUAUCAAUGCUUCAUAAGAGGAUAAAUCACUUACUUAUCAUCUAAGAAACUUGUGUGAAGACUAAAAUCAUGAAAAGAGACACAAGAUUCUUAUUUCAUACUCUAACUCAUCCUUUACACACAAUUCUGCUAUUUUCACAACCCAACACCUCAAUUUCUUCUUUUCACAUUUUCCUAGCUUUCUAAGUCCUUAGACUCACCAUUCAUAUCAUUUAAAACUUGUGAGAGGCCUUAAACUGCACAGCUGAAGUACAUCGCCAUAUGGCACACUCCAAGAUCAAGAAAACUCCACAAUGAGCAAUCUUAAUGCAUUUUCACUUCAAAGCCAAAUAGUUCACAUUGGAUCCUAUUCUAAUAUUUGAAAAAUAACAUUAAAACACAAACAUGAGUUUGUUCAAAAGUUAUGGAAAUCAAUUUUGCACAGUUAAUGCAGAAAAUCACCUAGAGUGACUUGUUUUUCAUCAUGAGCACACUACUACAUACCUCAAUUUCUCAAAACACACCAACCUCAAAAAUCAUCAAUUCAUAUGCAUGGUAAGCAUCAAAUUAGACCUGCUAUAACUUUGAAACUCAGGUUUUAAACAGAAAAUCACAGGAUGCACAAUUUAUUCAAGUUCACAUGCAAAAACAAGUCACAACCCUAUCUUUUACAAAUCCAUCAAAUCAUUGAUCUCUAAGCCUUUGAACAUACUCAAUAUGGUGAUCAAAAGCUGUGAAGCACAGGAAAAUACAAAUUAAAGUGAAACUUCACAAAAUCACCAUGUCACUUACUAAAAUAACAAGAAAACUGGAAAAUCUAACUAAACACUGGGUUGCCUCCCAGGAAGCGCUUGUUUAACGUCAUUAGCUUGACACAAAAACUAUCAUGGUGACCACAAACAAGGGUUAUAGUAUAACCCCUUCCGCUUCUUUGGCUUUUUGACCUGGUUUUCAUCAAGUGUUCUAUCAAAACCUUUCCAAGCCAUCCAAAAAUCAUUCUUUUUCUUUCUUUUUUCAAUCAACCCUAAUUCACAAUUUAAGCUAUAUACAUUCUUUGAAGUAUUCAAUGAAAUAUUUUCAUCAAACCUAUCACCAAAUACAGAAUCUGUAUGUUCAACGAUAUAAAUCAUACCAUUGCAUUGGUGAUGCUGAAAAUCAUAAAAAACUUCAAAGCUUACCUCAACCUCUUCAUGUUUUACCUUUGGGGAAUUUUGAGGUGAGUUGUGAAUUGGUGGAUCAUUUUUUUCUUUUACUUCUUCUUCCUCCUCACCUUCUUCCUUAUUUUCUUUAUCAAUUUCUUUUGUUUCCACAACAACCUUACCAUAUUCAGCUAUUUGAUGUGCUAGAUGCCCCACUUGAUUUUCUAGGUUCUUGAUGGAAGCCUCGGUAUUCUUUUGGUUAACUAUUGAAAUCUGCAUGAAUUGGACCAAGGUAUCCUCAAGCCUAGCAAUCUUAUCAUGUUCUGGGGAGUAAUAUGGUAGGUAUGGUGGUGGUGGAACUUGUUCUUCCUGUAAAUGACAAUAACCCACAUAGUGAGUAUCAAAACAAAUAUCACACCACAUUACCUGAUCUCUUAAGGAUGGUUGUUGCAUCUUUGGAAGUGGGUGAUUCAGAAGCUUCUUGUUGCUAUUUUCUCUUAAGCUAGUCGAUUGAAUGAACAAGAAAACACAAGCUAACACAAGAGAUUAGCAACAACAAGGAAAAUUUAACUGAAAUUAAAACUAUACACUAUAUUCACAAUUGCUCAAAGUAAGAAAACUAAAGCAAUGCUUUUGUAUUGACGCAAUUCCCCGGCAACGGCGCCAUUUUUGUUGAAAGGUUUUUACCACAACUACUUUCAAAUCCCUUUCAAGAUUCAAUUGUAGUAUAGCAUAGGGUUUUUGUCGUAUCCGCAGGGAAUUGCUAAUACAAAUGUCGUUCUCUAGUAAAUUACUCAAGCAAUAGAUUUUCAAAAGGUUGAUAAUUUUAGUGAUCAAAUGCUAAUGUAAAUUAAAUAAAGCGAGAAUAAAAGAUGAUUGAUAUCAAGAGAGAAAGCUGUUGGAAUUGGAGUUCACCGUUUAACUAUUAGUGUCCUAUGAUUCUAUAUGAAUAUCCAUUCCUAUCCAUGAUUCAUCUACACCAUUUCUACCCUACUUCAUUGAUUCCUCACAUGAGUGGAUAUCUAUAACUUACUUUCCUAAACAUUGAUUCCUCACAUGCAUAGAAAAGCUAAGUUAUCUUUAAGCUCAGAUGUUUAAGGGACUAACAAACCUAACUCUAUUCCUAGCAAUUAGAUUUAUAAGAUGGUUAAUCCUAGAUCGAACUCUAGACGUCGUAGCUUCCGCUCUUACGCCGAAUCAAGCGAUAUGUUCUAGGUGCGCAAACUAAAACAUAGCAUUAAGAACAAGAGACAACCAUUGAAUCAUGUGAUAGAAACUAUAUUACAUAUAGAAAUCAAGAAGAACAAAUCAUAGUUAAAGGCUACAUCCAAAUCCAACAAAGAAACUUAGCAACCCAUAUCCAUGGAUUGCUUACAAAGUUUACAAGAGGAAACUAAGGUGAAAGCGGUGACCCGUGCCGUCCUCGGUGUGUCUCCAGCACGAUGGAUGGUGGAUCAAAGCUCCCAAAGUUCCUUUCCUUCUUCUCUAUGCAAUUUUCUUUCUAAGAGGUCCAAAAUAUGUCAAGAGAUCAUCCAAUUCUGAUUUGGUCUAGCUUUUUAUAAAACAGGACAGCAAUCUCGCUUAAGCUGAUAAAGAUGUCGCUUAAGCGAGCAGGUUUCUUCACGUUCAGGUAAGGUCUUUGGCUUAAGCGAGACCAUUUCUCGCUUAAGCCGAAUUGUCUUCCAGAACCACUGCUACUGCCAUGUAAUUUGGCUUAAGCGAGGCAACAUUUGGCUUAAGCGAACUUCAAUAUAUCUGCCACUGCUACUGCCAUGUAGUUUGGCUUAAGCGAGUCAACUUUUGGCUUAAGCGAACUUCAAUAUUUUUAGCCCCUUCUGAUCUUCAAAUAGUUGGAUCUUCUUG
rnacentral:lncRNA from 1 species